rnacentral:rRNA from 1 species
AACGCUAGCUACAGGCUUAACACACGCAAGUCGAGGGGCAGCAUGGUCUUAGCUCGCUAAGGCCGAUGGCGACCGGCGCACGGGUGAGUAACGCGUAUCCAACCUGCCUUACACUCUUGGACAGCCUUCUGAAAGGGAGAUUAAUACAAGAUGUUAUCAUGAGUAAGCAUUUUCGCAUGAUUAAAGGUUUACCGGUGUAAGAUGGGGAUGCGUUCCAUUAGAUAGUAGGCGGGGUAACGGCCCACCUAGUCUUCGAUGGAUAGGGGUUCUGAGAGGAAGGUCCCCCACAUUGGAACUGAGACACGGUCCAAACUCCUACGGGAGGCAGCAGUGAGGAAUAUUGGUCAAUGGACGAGAGUCUGAACCAGCCAAGUAGCGUGAAGGAUGAAGGUUCUAUGGAUUGUAAACUUCUUUUAUACGGGAAUAAACGAAUCCACGUGUGGAUUUUUGCAUGUACCGUAUGAAUAAGGAUCGGCUAACUCCGUGCCAGCAGCCGCGGUAAUACGGAGGAUCCGAGCGUUAUCCGGAUUUAUUGGGUUUAAAGGGAGCGUAGAUGGGUUGUUAAGUCAGUUGUGAAAGUUUGCGGCUCAACCGUAAAAUUGCAAUUGAUACUGGCAGUCUUGAGUACAGUUGAGGUAGGCGGAAUUCGUGGUGUAGCGGUGAAAUGCUUAGAUAUCACGAAGAACUCCGAUUGCGAAGGCAGCUUACUAACCUGUAACUGACAUUGAUGCUCGAAAGUGUGGGUAUCAAACAGGAUUAGAUACCCUGGUAGUCCACACGGUAAACGAUGAAUACUCGCUGUAGGCGAUAUACAGUCUGCGGCCAAGCGAAAGCAUUAAGUAUUCCACCUGGGGAGUACGCCGGCAACGGUGAAACUCAAAGGAAUUGACGGGGGCCCGCACAAGCGGAGGAACAUGUGGUUUAAUUCGAUGAUACGCGAGGAACCUUACCCGGGCUUAAAUUGCAACCGAAUAUGGCGGAAACGCUAUAGCUAGCAAUAGCGGUUGUGAAGGUGCUGCAUGGUUGUCGUCAGCUCGUGCCGUGAGGUGUCGGCUUAAGUGCCAUAACGAGCGCAACCCUUGCCGAUAGUUACUAACAGGUUAUGCUGAGGACUCUGUCGGGACUGCCAUCGUAAGAUGUGAGGAAGGUGGGGAUGACGUCAAAUCAGCACGGCCCUUACGUCCGGGGCUACACACGUGUUACAAUGGGGGGGUACAGAGGGCUGCUACCACGCAAGUGGAUGCCAAUCCCAAAAACCUCUCUCAGUUCGGAUUGAAGUCUGCAACCCGACUUCAUGAAGCUGGAUUCGCUAGUAAUCGCGCAUCAGCCACGGCGCGGUGAAAUACGUUCCCGGGCCU